GUGUCAGCCGCCGCGGUAAUACGUAGGGGGCAAGCGUUGUCCGGAUUUACUGGGCGUAAAGAGCGUGUAGGCGGCCACUCAGGUCCGUUGUGAAAACUGGAGGCUCAACUUCCAGACGUCGACGGAAACCGCGUGGCUAGAGUCCGGAAGAGGAGAGUGGAAUUCCUGGUGUAGCGGUGAAAUGCGCAGAUAUCAGGAAGAACACCAAUGGCGAAGGCAGCUCUCUGGGACGGUACUGACGCUGAGACGCGAAAGCGUGGGGAGCGAACAGGAUUAGAAACCCCAGUAGUCC
rnacentral:rRNA from 1 species